CAGCCGCCGCGGUAAUACAGAGGGUGCGAGCGUUAAUCGGAUUUACUGGGCGUAAAGCGUGCGUAGGCGGCUUUUUAAGUCGGAUGUGAAAUCCCUGAGCUUAACUUAGGAAUUGCAUUCGAUACUGGGAAGCUAGAGUAUGGUAGAGGAUGGUAGAAUUCCAGGUGUAGCGGUGAAAUGCGUAGAGAUCUGGAGGAAUACCGAUGGCGAAGGCAGCCAUCUGGCCUAAUACUGACGCUGAGGUACGAAAGCAUGGGGAGCAAACAGGAUUAGAUACCCGGGUAGUCCCUGUCUCUUAUAC
rnacentral:rRNA from 1 species